rnacentral:misc_RNA from 1 species
AAAGUCGUAACAAGGUUUCCGUAGGUGAACCUGCGGAAGGAUCAUUAUUGAAUAAAUAUAAUUUGGGAGGUUGUAGCUGGCUCUCUAUUGGGGAGCAAUGUGCACACCUUUCAAACUAUUUAUCUCCAACCCACCUGUGCACUUCUUGUAGAUGCUGGAUAAAAAACAACCAACUCCUUUGGAUUGAUUGUUAUUUUUUUGAGGGUUUGCUGUCAAGGCUGCCUUUGCUUGUUCAGUGUCUAUGUAUUUUAUAAUAUACCCUACUUUUUAGUCUUUGAAUGUGUUAUCAAAAGGCAGCAAUGCCCUUUUGUUAUAAUAUUAAUACAACUUUCAACAACGGAUCUCUUGGCUCUC